AAGGUGCUGCAUGGCGUUGUCACUCGUCCUUGAGGUGUAGGGUUAAUUCCGCAACGAGGCAACCCCCAUCACUAGUUUCCAUCAGGUAUGCUUGGAACUUUUGUGAAAUCCGUGUAAGACCGAGGAAGGAGGGGAGAUGUCAAGUCAUCAUGGCCUUUAUGCCCAGGGUUCACACGUGGUACAAUGGGGAGGACAAAGGG
rnacentral:rRNA from 1 species